AAUUCAAUAGCUCAGUUGGUUAGAGCGGUCCCGGUGUACACCGGGAUUAAUCCGUAGGUCCAAGGUUCGAGUCCUUGUUGAGGCGCUA
rnacentral:tRNA from 1 species